UUUGGGAGGCCGAGGCAGAUGGAUCACGAGGUCAGGAGUUUAAGACCAGCCUGGCCAAUGAUGAAACCCCAUCUCUACUAAAAAAUACAAAAGUUAGCCAGGCUUGGUGGCAUGCAUCUGUAGUCUCAGCUACUUGGAAGGCUGAAGCAGGAAUAAUUGCUUGAACCCGGGAGGCAGAGGUUGCAGUGAACGGAGAUUGUGCUACUGCACUCCAGCCUGGGUGACAGAGCGAGACUCUGUCUCACAAAAGAAAGGCAGGAAGGCAGGAAGGAAGAAAGAAAGAAAGAGAGAAGGAAGGAAAUAAGGAAAGAAAGAAAGAAGAAAAGAAAAGAAGGCAAGCAUUCCUGGCCCUGUGGCUCAUGGCUAUAAUCCCAGCUACUCGGGAGGCUGAGGCAGGAGGAUCUCUGUGCCCAGGAGUUUGAGGCUGCAGGGAGCCAUGAUUGCACCACUGCACAUCAUCCUGGGGGACAGAGUAAGACUCUGUCUCUAAACAAAUGAACAAAUAAAGAUAAAAUAAAGCAUUAUAUCCUCAUAGUGGCUUAGCAUUUGGUAGAAGUAGCAGAUACUGUACAUCUUCUGGCUUUUCAGGGGGUGAGUACAGGCUUCUUGUGGUCAAAAGGGACACGGGGAGGCAGUUCUUACAACUCUAAUUUACAGUGCUGGGGUAGAGCUCAAGAAAGACCCUGCUCAGGAUACUGUUAGCAUUUGAGACGAUCCUCUGGCCUCCCUCCUCACCUGACUCUAUGAAGACAUUGUAAAAGACGUCUAAACAGUACCCAGAAGACAGGAAGAGGUGGGAAGUUCGGAACGUCCUAGAGGCUUGUUGAACGGCUUAGACCAAAAUGCUGACAGUGAUACGGACAAUAAAGCCCAGGCGGAGGCUGUCUCAGACGGAGAUGAACUGUUUCCGUGUCUCUAACAUGCGUCUUCAGUGCUGUCUGUACAGUCUUAGGAACUAUGGCCUGUGGUGCUGCCGGGGCUCAGAAAACGAUUCCGCAAAACACGGCCCUUUGACCUGCUGAACUAAAGAAGCCGCCUCAAGACGGAGCAGUGUAGCAGUGGCUUGAUUGUGGCUUGUUGCAGGAGGAGCUGUGACAGAACCCCCCAGAUACUGAAGUGAGGAAGGACGAGGCUUUUAUUCAGCUAGCUGUGGAGCAUCAGUUUGCUCGUGUCCAAAAGAUGCUGAGCUCCCUGAAAAGCAGUUUCUCUCCCUUUUUAAAGACACGCAACUCAAGAGGAAGCAGAGAUCCCGUGUACCAGUGAAACUGAAACUCCUGACGUCAGCUGGUCUGAAGGACCCCAUUGAGGAACUGACUCAACGAAGAAUAGUUUCCACAUCCUAAUGAUUUCAUCCCCCUUCCCCUGACCAAUCAACAACCUUAAUUUUCCCACCCCUCACCCUCCACAAUCCCCUUAGGAGCCUUAAUGCAGAAGUUCUUGAGGAGAUGGAUCUCAGGGUCUACUCCUGUCUCUUCCCCUGGCUGCCCUGUGAUCAUGAAACUCUUUGGUGCAAACUGCCGUCUCAGUGCAUCGGUCUAACACUGCACAGAAGAACCCACUGGUCCUACAACACCAGAGCUGUUUUCUACUUUGUUUUAACUUUUUUGGGAAUCUCUGUACUUGUUGAAUAAACACCG